rnacentral:rRNA from 1 species
GACGAACGCUGGCGGCGUGCUUAACACAUGCAAGUCGAGCGGAGCGGCGAACGGGUGAGUAACGCGUGAGUAACUGCCCCCCUCUCUGGGAUAACAGUUGGAAACGGCUGCUAAUACCGGAUAGUGGGGGGUGACUCGUGGCAUAUCAGUUUGUUGGUGGUGUAGUGGCCUACCAAGGGGAGGACGGGUGGCCGGCCUGAGAGUGCGACCGGCCACAUUGGGCUGGGAUACGGCCCGAACUCCUACGGGAGGCAGCAGUGGGGAAUAUUGCACGAUGGGGGAAACCCUGAUGCAGCAACGCCGCGUGCGGGAUGACGGCCUUCGGGUUGUAAACCGCUUGCAGCCAUGACGCGGUAGUGGCAGAAGAAGCACCGGCUAACUACGUGCCAGCAGCCGCGGUAAUAC